rfam:Aedes aegypti strain Liverpool supercont1.593 genomic scaffold, whole genome shotgun sequence.
UGCCCAGCAACUCCUAUCCCUACCUCCUCGCGGUACUGGCCGGGGUACGAGUAACCUUAGGGAAGAUCGGGUAACCAACCCCCGGUGGGAACUUCGGUCGUAUGCUGACAGGGAAGG